UCCAUAGACUGCCACACCUGGGGAUC
rnacentral:misc_RNA from 1 species